GGAGUCUUCACUUCCGCAGCCCUUACACUAAAACUGAAACGUACAGAGAAGAUUGGGAUGGUCCCUGGGCAAGGAUGACAUGCACAUUUGUGAAGUGUUCUAUAUUUUU
ensembl:snRNA U6 U6 spliceosomal RNA